UGGGCGUGUUUAUCAAAUCAGCUGGUCAGCUGACAGUAGGCUUCUUUUAAGUGGAAGCGAAGACUCCACGCUGAAGGUUUGGGAUAUAAGGACACGGAAGUUAAAACAAGACCUUCCUGGCCAUGCUGAUAAGGUAUACGCCAUUGAUUGGAGUCCGGAUGGCGAGAAGGUAGCUUCUGGAGGUAAGGAUGGGGUAUUGAAGUUAUGGAUGGGCUAGACCUAGCAGAGGAGUAUAUGGUGGAAAUGUCAAACCACACAAUAUUUGGCAACUUCAAUGGACAGCAAAUGAUGUGAUGAUA
rnacentral:misc_RNA from 1 species